AGCAGUGCCUGAGGAAAGACAUUGGAAGUUGUUCUCUGGUCUCCACACACACGUACCUGUGAGCCUCUAUACAUGCACACACAUGCAUGCAUACAAGUCACUUGGCACAAUUUCACAAUGGUGGUGAUUAGGUCUGUGGGGCACGGAGGGGUUUUAGGCAACCAAAGCUUAGAACAAAUCUUCAAGGAGAUCUAGCGCCCCAGGAAAAUGCCGGAAGUAUGUGGGGUGAUAAUGGACAAUGCUCAUCACUCGGGAGGAAGUAGCUCCACUUAUGAGUACAUCCUAUGGUCUCCUCGUGUGCACACACACACAUGCACUGUACACAUGAGAACACACGGAGCGACAGGGAGGCCAUUCCUCUGGGCUGUUGGAACUGGGGAACAGAAGCUCCCCGCUACUGGCUGCACCUGAGCAGAAGCUAGUGUUUUACAGGGAUGUGGUGGAGAAGGUUCUGGAAGGAGGCUGAGCAGAGACCUUUCCAACUCAGAGCCUCUGAUUUUCUUCCAUUUGGACUUUCAGGCAUUUGGAGUUCAGGAAUGCUCACUGAUGAAAUCACUACCCAAUCAGGGAAACUGUUUAAACAGCCGGCUUUCCAGCUUUCUAAAAAUAGGACUCAAUUUACAGAGUGGGGCAGAGAGAGCCGGACACUGCACAGCCCUGUGAUAGGCCAGGCACUGUGUCACUUAUUCCUACCAACCCUAGAUUCCAGCUGCCCAGGGAAUCCAGGCAUGAAGAAGUGGGGGGAUUGCUCAGGACCCGCGGUGGUAAGUGGCGAUUUGCGGAGCAGUGUCCUUGUCUGCAUGGCUGCAGAUGGCUCUGUACUACCUCCAUAUUCACAUUCAAGAUGGCAGAACGGUAAGGCCUGACUCCAUUUGGGUGUUUGCCAAGAACUUUAUGCCCUGCCUCUCUCUUCUUGUGUACCCCACAUUCUGGCAAGCUGGUGAACAUGUGCUCCCUCCAUCUGGGGGUAGCAGGAAGUAGAAACCUCACUCCCGCUCCACCCCUACCUCUACAUAGAUCUCAAACCCAUCCCUGUUUGUCCUCUAGAAAUCCAGGAACCCCUGUUAUGUGAGUAGAUACAUGGUUUUUGAAUCCUUUCUGUGACAUCAUCUGCCUUGACAUUUCAACCACAUUUUAGAUGGGGUUUGAUUCUAUCUUUCUAAGUGGCCACAAACCAAAGGAAAAUUAAUCGAUAGAGCUUUCUUGGCCCAGAAGGUACACAGAGAAUUUUUGUUCUUUGGCCUGUCAAGAAUGCAAUAGUCACAUGACCAUAUAGCUGCAAGAGAGUCAGGAACCAUAACCUCUACUGGGCUGCCAUGUCCUCUGUGGAAAUUCUAGGGCAGCUGCUAGAAGUUACAUCUACCAGAGGUAGUAGAUGAGAAAGGUUAUUAGGAUUAUGGGGGAAUAGACC
rnacentral:sRNA from 1 species